GGAUGCAUAGUGUAGAUGGUUAUCACGCUCGCUUCGCAAAUUUCUGCAAUUUCUUCGGCUCGGAGAUCUAGAAUGUCAAUACGACUGCGAGAGGUGUCCGGUUCAAUUCCGGAUGCAUCCA